AAAAGGUCCUCUCCGUGGGACAGACUCACUAAAAGGACGUGAGUCCUUUCUUAGGCUACCUGAGUGAUACUAAGUGGGGAAGGGUUGCAUUUUUUCUUUUCAAGUGUGAUCCAGAGGUGAGCUAGACCCUGGGGUUUAACCUGGUUCCUUUGCCCACGAUUCCCUCCUCCCCCGUGCACACACUGGCAGUCAUAAGACAGCGAGAAGCUCAGCAGAGAAGGGAGAUGCCACUCCUCCAUCAACACUCCAGCAGGGCAGCUUCGGCAAUUCCCUCUGGGAGUGGAUCAUGGUUCAGGCUGUUUGACAGUGUUCUGGCCUUUUAGAUGAUGAGAUUGCUGAGUCUGAAAGGGAGCAUUUCCUCCUGGCUCCCU
rnacentral:lncRNA from 1 species